rnacentral:rRNA from 1 species
GGGCCCGCGGGCUAUUAGCUAGUUGGUGGGGUAACGGCCUACCAAGGCGAUGAUGGCUAGCCGGCCUGAGAGGGCGACCGGCCACACAGGGACUGAGACAAGGCCCUGUCCCCUACGGGAGGCGCAGGCGGGAAUCGUUCACAAUGGGCGCAAGCCUGAUGACGCGACGCCGCGUGAGGGAUGAAGGCCUUCGGGUUGUAAACCUCUGCCGGGAGAGAAGCUGACGUUAUCUCCCAGGAAGCCUCGGCUAACUACGUGCCAGCAGCCGCGGUAACACGUAGGAGGCAAGCGUUGUCCGGAAUUACUGGGCGUAAAGGGUGUGUAGGCGGGACGGUAAGUCGGGCGUGAAAUCCCACGGCUCAACCGUGGAACUGCUCCCGAUACUGCCGACCUUGAGUACGGGAUAGGAGAGUGGAACUCACGGUGUAGCGGUAAAAUGCGUAGAU